rnacentral:rRNA from 1 species
CGGACGGGUGAGUAAUGUCUGGGAAACUGCCCGAUGGAGGGGGAUAACUACUGGAAACGGUAGCUAAUACCGCAUAACGUCGCAAGACCAAAGAGGGGACCUUCGGGCCUCUUGCCAUCGGAUGUGCCCAGAUGGGAUUAGCUAGUAGGUGGGGUAACGGCUCACCUAGGCGACGAUCCCUAGCUGGUCUGAGAGGAUGAUCAGCCACACUGGGACUGAGACACGGUCCAG